rnacentral:rRNA from 1 species
GAGGUUAAGCGACUAAGCGUACACGGUGGAUGCCCUGGCAGUCAGAGGCGAUGAAGGGCGUGCUAAUCUGCGAUAAGCGCCGGUAAGGUGAUAUGAACCGUUAUAACCGGCGAUACCCGAAUGGGGAAACCCAGUGUGAUUCGUCACACUAUCAUUAACUGAAUCCAUAGGUUAAUGAGGCGAACCGGGGGAACUGAAACAUCUAAGUACCCCGAGGAAAAGAAAUCAACCGAGAUUCCCCCAGUAGCGGCGAGCGAACGGGGAGGAGCCCAGAGCCUGAAUCAGCAUGUGUGUUAGUGGAAGCGUCUGGAAAGGCGCGCGAUACAGGGUGACAGCCCCGUACACAAAAGCGCAUGUGCUGUGAGCUCGAUGAGUAGGGCGGGACACGUGGUAUCCUGUCUGAAUAUGGGGGGACCAUCCUCCAAGGCUAAAUACUCCUGACUGACCGAUAGUGAACCAGUACCGUGAGGGAAAGGCGAAAAGAACCCCGGCUAGGGGAGUGAAAAAGAACCUGAAACCGUGUACGUACAAGCAGUGGGAGCACAGGUUUACCUGUGUGACUGCGUAC